rnacentral:rRNA from 1 species
GAGUUUGAUCCUGGCUCAGAACGAACGCUGGCGGCGUGCUUAACACAUGCAAGUCAGGGAGAAAGUCUCUUCGGGGAUGAUUAAACCGGCGCACGGGUGAGUAACACGUGAGUGACCUGCCUUUUAGACUGGAACAACUUACCGAAAGGUGAGCUAAUGCCGGAUGAGUUAUAUAAGUGCAUGUUUAUAUAGGAAAAGUUGGGGAGACCUGACGCUGAAAGAUGGACUCGCGUCCCAUUAGCUAGUUGGUAGGGUAAUGGCCUACCAAGGCGACGAUGGGUAGCCGGCCUGAGAGGGUGGCCGGCCACACUGGGACUGAGACACGGCCCAGACUCCUACGGGAGGCAGCAGUGGGGAAUUUUGCGCAAUGCUCGUAAGAGUGACGCAGCGACGCCGCGUGAAUGACGAAGGCCUUCGGGUCGUAAAGUUCUUUCGACAGGGAAGAAAAUGCCUAUAAGUAACUGUGUAUGUAUUGACGGUACCUGUAUAAGCAGCCCCGGCUAACUCCGUGCCAGCAGCCGCGGUAAUACGGAGGGGGCGAGCGUUGUUCGGAGUGACUGGGCGUAAAGAGCACGUAGGCGGUGUUGUAAGUCAUUAGUCAAAGACUAGAGCUCAACUUUAGUAAGGCUAGUGAUACUAUAAUACUAGAGUAUCAGAGAGGAUUGCAGAAUUCCUGGUGUAGCGGUGAAAUGCGUAGAUAUCAGGAGGAAUACCGUUAGCG